rnacentral:rRNA from 1 species
UACGGAGGGGGCUAGCGUUGUCCGGAUUUACUGGGCGUAAAGAGCGCGCAGGCGGUCGUUCAAGUCGAGUGUGAAAGCCCCCGGCUCAACUGGGGAGGGUCACUCGAUACUGAUGAGCUUGAAUACACUUGAGGUAGGCGGAAUGUGACAAGUAGCGGUGAAAUGCAUAGAUAUGUCACAGAACACCAAUUGCGAAGGCAGCUUACUACACAAAUAUUGACGCUGAGGCACGAAAGCGUGGGGAUCAAACAGG